UACGUAGGCAGCGAGCGUUGUUCGGAAUUACUGGGCGUAAAGAGUGUGUAGGCGGUGCUCUAAGUUCGGUGUGAAAUCUCCCUGCUUAACUGGGAGGGUGCGCCGGAAACUGGAGUGCUCGAGCGUGGGAGAGGAAAGCGGAAUUCCUGGUGUAGCGGUGAAAUGCGGUAGAUAUCAGGAGGAACACCUGGUGGUGUAGACCGG
rnacentral:rRNA from 1 species